AGAGUUUGAUCCUGGCUCAGAACGAACGUUAGCGGCGCGCUUAACACAUGCAAGUCGCACGAGAAAGGGCUUCGGCCCCGGUACAGUGGCGCACGGGUGAGUAACACGUGGGUAAUCUUCCCUCUGGCGGGGGAUAACCUUCCGAAAGGAGGGCUAAUACCGCAUAAGACCACGGCGUCGAAAGACGCAGAGGUUAAAGC
rnacentral:rRNA from 1 species